UUCACGUUCAUUAUUUUGCAGUUUAAUGUUUAGAUUGCGGUGUCGUCAAACUGAAUUUAGAAAAACGGAAUAUUUACCUUUUUCUAUGACGGUCCAGUCGAGUAUUAUUCCAGCGAGGACGGCCUGAACGGAAACAUAGGAUUUUUCAAAAUUAUUUAAACGCAAUGAAUAUGAUUAUAUGUACGCAAAUGGCUUGUCCGAUGACGCCAAACAGGCGCUGCUUUCCCAAAUCGCCGUGAUGUUUCUUGACCAUUUUGAUGGCAGUUGCAUCCAACCUUUGUGUUAUUAAUAAUUAUCCGGAGAAGAACUCACAUGGAAAAAGAGGUGGCCAGAGAACCGGACGCGAUAAUACGCAGGAUAAAGUACAACCAAAAUCCGCGAUUGUGUUUGACUCGUUCAUUCUCUUUCUGCUGUUGCUGCUCUUCGACAG